rnacentral:rRNA from 1 species
CCCUUAGAUGUUCUGGGCUGCACGCGCGCUACACUGAUGCGUUCAACGAGUUUUUAGCUUAUCUGAUAAGAUUGGCUAAUCUUCUGAAAACGCAUCGUGAUGGGGAUAGAUUAUUGUAAUUAUUAAUCUUCAACGAGGAAUUCCUAGUAGGUGUGAAUCAUCAGUUCACGCCGAUUACGUCCCUGCCCUUUGUACACACCGCCCGUCGCUCCUACCGAUUGAAUGGUCCGGUGAAAUCUCGGGACGGCGGCUUGGUCGCUUGCGUCCGACUGCUGAAACUUGAUUAAACCAUAUCAUUUAGAGGAAGGUGAAGUCGUANCA